AAUAGAUACCCAGGUAGUCCACGCUGUAAACGUUGGGCGCUAGGUGUGGGGGGCCUCUCCGGUUCCCUGUGCCGCAGCUAACGCAUUAAGCGCCCCGCCUGGGGAGUACGGCCGCAAGGCUAAAACUCAAAGGAAUUGACGGGGGGCCCGCACAAGCGGCGGAGCAUGCGGAUUAAUUCGAUGCAACGCGAAGAACCUUACCUGGGUUUGACAUGGCCGCAAAACCUGCAGAGAUGUGGGGUCCUUCGGGGGCGGUCACAGGUGGUGCAUGGCUGUCGUCAGCUCGUGUCGUGAGAUGUUGGGUUAAGUCCCGCAACGAGCGCAACCCUCGUUCGAUGUUGCCAGCGCGUUAUGGCGGGGACUCAUCGAAGACUGCCGGGGUCAACUCGGAGGAAGGUGGGGAUGACGUCAAGUCAUCAUGCCCCUUAUGUCCAGGGCUUCACGCAUGCUACAAUGGCCGGUACAAUGGGCUGCGAUACCGUGAGGUGGAGCGAAUCCCAAAAAGCCGGUCUCAGUUCGGAUCGGGGU
rnacentral:rRNA from 1 species